rnacentral:rRNA from 1 species
CUAAGUAUAAGCUUUUAUACGGCUAAACUGCGAAUGGCUCAUUAAAACAGUUAUAGUUUAUUUGAUGGUCUUUACUACAUGGAUAACCGUGGUAAUUCUAUGGCUAAUACAUGCGCACAUGCCUCUUCCCCUGGAAGGGCAGUGUUUAUUAGAUACAGAACCAACCCACCUUCCGGUGGUCCUCAGGUGAUUCAUAGUAACCGAACGGAUCGCGUUGACUUCGGUCUGCGACGGAUCAUUCAAGUUUCUGACCUAUCAGCUUUCGACGGUACUGUAUUGGACUACCGUGGC